ACGUUGCAACUCGGCAGCCGAUUCAAGGUUAUCUGUGUAAAAGUGGUUACGGUAUAUAAUAUACCAGCCUGUAUUCUGCCACCGUUAUCUUUCCUUACGAAUUUAUGACUAUGCCAUAGGUUACUACAAUAUUUACCUUUGUGAUUGCUGAUGAUAUAUUUAUUAUAAUAUUAUUUAUAUAUCCAGCGAAUAGUCUACUGUUUUAUUUCGAGACUCGUCUAGUCGUGACUCGUUACCACUACAAGCACAGAAUAGAGUGGUCCGUGUCCGACGUUCGGGUUUUUCAACAACUAGACUGGCCGCCGGGUUUUAAACUUUCAGUGAUUUUGUGUAAAUUUUAUACUAGUAUAAUAUACUUUAUAGAUUCAGUUUUCAAAAAAAUCAGGUUACGUCGAAUAGCAGCCUACAUAGUAUUUGUAGCUCUUCUGUCAAGUCAAUCAAAGAUUUUAAUAUGGCAGUUCACCUUGAUUCAGCUAAAUCAGCCAUCAAAGAUUCAUUAUAUGAUGAAUCUAAACCCUGGUGUAAAAUUUUCGGUUGGGCUGAAGCACAAACAGGAAUCAAUAGACUGAAUUUAUUUAUUGGUUUGGCGGUGUUUCUUGUAUUCUACUUAUUAAUUGGAUAUGGAACCUUGUUGUUAAGUAAUUUGAUUGGCUUUUUAUACCCAGCAUAUGCAUCAAUUAAAGCGGUUGAAUCUAGUGGGAAAGAUGAUGACACAAAAUGGUUGACAUAUUGGGUGGUAUUUUCAUUUAUUACACUUAUUGAGUUACCAGCUGCAAUUUUACUAAGCUGGAUUCCAUUUUAUUCUUUAAUCAAAACAAUCUUUUUUGUGUGGUGUUUUAUACCAAUCAGCAAUAAUGGUUCUGUGGUUGUAUAUAAUAGAUUUAUACGUCCAUACUUUUUAAAACAUCAAGGAGAUAUUGAUCAAGCAGUAAAUGAUCUUUCCAAAAAAGCUUCUGAUGUUGCAUUUGAGAAGUUAGUUACUGCAAAAGUCAAUUAAAUAAUACAAUUAGUUUUGGGGUUAAAAUUUGUUGAACAUUCAUUAUAAAGGUUUCAUCAAUAAAAUUGAAAAGGGUACAAACAAGAACUAAAUUCAUUUUACAAGUAAUUUUAUUUUUGGUUUUUUAUCAACAGUUAUUUAUUAGAAUAUUAUGACAAAAACUGUUUAAAUUAUCAAUGUGAAGUGUUAUUAUAUUAUAUUUUUAAAUUUCAUUAAGUUUUCUAUUUCUGUAAGAUAUAAUUUCAUAAGUGAUAAUAAAAUAUUUUUAAACCUUA